rnacentral:rRNA from 1 species
GACGAACGCUGGCGGCGUGCUUAACACAUGCAAGUCGAACGGGCCCGCUCUCUUUUUUGGGGGUGGGUUGAGUGGCGAACGGGUGAGUAUCACGUGAGUAACCUGCCCCCUGCUCCUGGAUAACUGCUUGAAAGGGCGGCUAAUACGGGGUGUGCCGGCUGGUCCGCAUGGGCCUGGUCGGGAUAGUUUCAUCUUCGGGUGUUUCGGUGGGGGAUGGGCUCGCGGCCUAUCAGCUUGUUGGUGGGGUGAUGGCCCACCAAGGCGGUGACGGGUAGCCGGCCUGAGAGGGUGGGCGGCCACACUGGGACUGAGACACGGCCCAGACUCCUGCGGGAGGCAGCAGUGGGGGGUAUUGCACAAUGGGCGGAAGCCUGAUGCAGCGACGGCGCGUGAGGGAUGGAGGCCUUCGGGUUGUGAACCUCUUUCUCCGGUGGUGAAGGCCCUGUCCGUUGCGGCGGGGUUGACGGUAGCCGGGGAUGAAGCGCCGGCUAACUACGUG